AAACUGGGCUUUACUCUUCUGUUUUCCUGAAGUGUUUGUCUGCUGUGUGUAACUUACCAAUGGUGGUGCCUUGUGAAUAACCAAUAUAAUAUAGUUUUUCCUGUUCAAUCUUCUUCAUGAUAAAGUUUUUUGCUGCUAGAAGAUCUAACUUGGCCACCUCUUCAAAACUGCAGGUAUUUUAGAUCCAGUUUAGGAGCAAUGGAUAUAGAAGACACCACGUAAGCUUUGCUGGGCUAUUUUCUCCCCUGACAUCAAGAGGAUUCUGACUUCAAGGAGCAUUGGGUUGAACUGUAAAGACCUACCUACAAGUAACAGACCAGUAUUUCUAAAAGCCCUCCCAAACCAGAAUAGCUGGGACAUGAACUGGGCAAAUCCCUCUGAGCUUCCCUGGUGCUGUGCCUCCAGCCUAUACUCUGCUAGCAAUAAAGGAGGUAAUUCCACCAAAAACCUUACAUUAUUCAUAAAUGCUUCAGGAUCCACAGCUUUCCUCAUUCUUCUGAUUUCUUCUGAACAACUAAUUCCUUGAAACACAUACAUCAUAGCAAAAAACAGCCACAUCUUCUCUCUGGAUAAAACAACAUAUAUGCCCAUCAGGAGUCCUGCUCUGCAUUUUUGUCCAGGCAGGUUCUGUGCUUUUUUGUGAGAGAAAUCUUGCUCAAAACUGAAUGCAGCUAGUCUGGUGCUCUCUAAUUGUUAAUUAAACUGAACAAAGCUGACUUUAAACAUGUCCAGGGGAAUUUGGCAGCAGUCUGUGUUCUCUACUAACAUUUGUGCUAGAAUGUUCUUCUCCAUCAAGAUGAAACGUGUCAGAGAAUCUAAGGAAAGGAACAUUGUCGUAGAAACUAACUACAUUCAUUCUUUGGAGAAGGAAGUCACUUGUGUUACAAAGCUUCUAGGUAACUUUGGGGAAUGCUAGAGUUAUUGGGCAACUGGUAGCUAGAUCAUGUUAAAGGGAAGUUAUUAGAUAGCUAACACAAGGAGAAAUGAAAAUCAGUUAAGUUAUUUAUCAUCUAGAUAAGGAUAAUUAAGGCUCUUAAAUAAAGCACUUAUUUGUAGUUACCUAUUGUAAUUUAUACAGAAUUACUCUAUGGCAAAAUUUGUCCAAUCUGUAAAAUGCGAAUGAGAAAAGGAAAAGAGAUAAAUUUAAUGAUAGGUAAAGACUGAAUGUACUGACAUCCAUCCAUCCAUUGGCUUGUUUAUGAAAUUAGAACUGGAAAAAAAAUGGGAGGAAACCGGCCUGUUUGAAUGAAUACUCAGCAGUUUCACAAUCUAUGCUCUCAGCUCACAGGUGAUGCAGAAUGUUUGGAUGAGCAUUCUCUCUGCAUUAUACAAACACCUGGAGCCCAGGCUGAAACCUCAGUGGUCCCAGUCACACACCUCUGAGCUGGACUGAAUUAGCCAGCAAAUCCACUGCAUGUGUUACUUUCCUACUCAACCAAAUUGUAUAAAUUCUAUCCGCCAUGAGUAGUCUUGUUUUCUUUAAGACAAAACAAAUGUACAAUUUAUAUUCUCAUUUACUUGCUUUCUGAUAGCACCUAAAAUAUCUGUCUCUUCUGUAGGGAAAAAAAAGAGACAUUAUAAAACUUUCUUUUGGCCUAGCUGCUCUUAAAUAAGUGAAAGUGUUGCUGACCUUGAGCCAGAAAUCAUUUGUUCUGCUGAGUGGCUGAGGGAUGGAAACUCAGUCUGUGGGUGUUUGAAAGUAAUGCUGGGCAAAGAAGGCAGCAAAGUGUUGGUCAUGCAGCGUUUUUCCCAUGAUCAUGCAAAAUCUUACCAAUAAACAUCAAUUUCUUUCCUAUUCCUCAUUCCCUCUGCUAAU
ensembl:lncRNA